GUAAACACAAAAUAAAACAAAAUUUAUUUUGAGCACACACACAAAAAAAUCCAAUGUGGCCGUGGGGUGGCGCCCUUGCCAGUGGGGUGGGGAUGGGGGCACAGAUCUGCACCCAAGGAGAAGGUCCGCUGAGGCUGAGGCAGGAGACACCCUGGAGAGGCCCAGCAGGCAGACCCAGGUGCUCAGCCCGGAGCGGUUCCCUAGCCAGAGCCGCAGACGCCCGACCCGGAGGCGGCAGAGCCCUAAGCACCUGGAAAGCUGUCACCAGACCGUCACCGGGGGAGACAGCACGGUCCUGCAACACGACCUCGGGUCCCGGGAUACGACUCAGAGUGGGGCAGGAUUUUUCCAAGCAAGGAACUGCAAGGCCCCUGCCCGCUCCCGAAACAGCGGUGAAGGGUGAGGGGGACCCUGAAAGGCUGCACGCCCGCGGGACGCAGAGCGGCCUCGUCCUGAGCGGGCCCGGAGCUCGAGGCCAGCACGCGCGGGCGCAGCCUGGCGCUCUGGGCCCCGCGCGGAAACCGAAGAGGAAAAGAAAAAGUUGUGCAAAUGUCCUGCAUGUGAAUCUACACAGAAAGCCAGAGAGCACUGGACGAGGGAGCCCCCCGGGAGACCCGGCGCGCCCCGUACCCUCUGUGCGUGGGGUUGGCUUGCCCGUAACGUACUUCGAGCUGUCGGAAAGCGAGGCCGCGGACGUGACUUCCGGCUUCCAGGCCGGCCCGCGCGGAAUCGGGGACGCGAGCGAGCACCGCGGGAAGGCUGGCCGCCGAACUGCGCAGGCGCAGGGGGCCCGGCUGCACCUCCGCGGAGCCGCCACGCGGGGGCAGCCGUGAGCCACGGGAGGCCCGAGCGCCCCGAGAACCGGGCCGGUACAGGCCGGCUGCGAGCGCCGAAGGCAGCGGAGAGGACGACUCGCGCGUCUCCAGCUGGACGUGGCGAACUCUGGCUCGCAAAAGCUAACUUUCGCCCUAAAUGGGUGAUUUUUCCCUAAAAGGGACAAAGCCCACGCCCUGGUUCCACUGGGGCUCGAACCCAGGACCUUCUGCGUGUAAAGCAGACGUGAUAACCGCUACACUAUGGAACCGCGCGCGGAAAGUGGACCGGAAUCUGGUCAUUUAACGGGCGCCCGGUGACGCCCUGCGCGGGUCGGACGCGGGGUGCAAUCGCAGGCGGACGCCUCGGGCAGAGCACCCGGCUGCACCUCCAUAUCCCGGGACAAAACCCAGCACCCCUAGCUCGCAAAAGGAGCCCCGAGCACCCUCAAAAUACCAGCGGGGCCGCCCGUGGUUCCACUGGGGCUCGAACCCAGGACCUUCUGCGUGUAAAGCAGACGUGAUAACCGCUACACUAUGGAACCGCGCGGUGGCCGGCCGCCUCCGGGCGUAAUAACCCCGCGCGCAGCCCUCGGCCUGCGCCCGCCGGGACCGAGCCGCCCGUGCCCGGCUUCCCCCGCCGCUGCCGCUCAUGCUCCUGCUCCUCGCCCGCCCGGCGCGGCUCCCGGGGCGAGAACGCGCGCCCGCCACGGAGCUGUAGGCGGCUCGGGGCAACCUCCAAGCAUCUGGCUCUGUGGCGCAAUGGAUAGCGCAUUGGACUUCUAGACAAACAAAGACAUUCAAAGGUUGUGGGUUCGAGUCCCACCAGAGUCGCUUUUGUUUUGAUGAAGUCGGAUAAAGAAAAUUAAAGUGACAGAAGCCUUUAAUCCGCACUCGGCCGCGCCCUGGUUGGGGACAAAGGCGGUCGCUCCGGCGCGUCGGGCCCCCUCCCGAGGCUCCUCCAUCGCUUUCCCGGGGCUCCGGUUUCUGGGUACUGAACCCAGAGAUCCACGAGAUGCGAUCGAGGAGACGCGGGCUGAGCGUGGCUUUGCUCGUUCUGUUUCCAUGCAACGCUCGCGAUCCGAAUCCAUCCCGAGCUGUUCGGAAACUUCAGUCCGUGUUGCCCGAGUCGCCCGGAAGGAAAACGCCAUCCGGCAGGGUGCCGGGGUGGCCGAAUGGUUAGAGCGUCGGACUUAGGGCUCCGUGGUCUCUGGGGUGCGCGGGUUCGAACCCCACUUCUGGCGGCUCUGUGUUCGCCCUUCGGCGUUCCCUGUUGGGACUUUAGGUGCGCAGACGCCGGGAUCUGGGUCUGAAUCUGAACCCCAGACAGUUCCUUUUCGCCAGAGCAGAGAAUGCGGGACGACUUGAGAAUCCACGGCUGGGAAGGAGCGAAGGCAGCGUCCACCGAAAGCAGACCCGAUCCUCUCCACCGAUGUUGCUGCGCCGCCGCGCAAAGGCCCGAGGGGCGGGAGGAGGAGCCGGCCGGCCUGCGGGCGGACGCGCGGGAGGACUGAGGAGGGGCCGGCGCUGCGAGAGGCUUCGGGUGGCCCCGCGGGCGGCGCGGAGGAACCAAGGCGGCGCCGGGACCACCGGGCUCGGUCCUCAGGUACCUCCGGGGAGACGGGACGGCCCGAACGCGGCUGCAAGGCCGGGAGGGAGGGGGAGGACGCAGCGCGUUUGCUGUGAUUUUCCAACAUCUACCGCUUCCUCCAGAACCUUGCAGCACUGAGGACGUGGGUGCUUUGCACGUUUCUCCGCUGAACGCUCAGAAAUCCCAGCCUGAGAAGCUCCGAUCUGAGUGGAACCGGGGAAUCCCAAAGCGCGGGAUAACCUGACAGAUAGCGUGUCCCGCCUGCCUCGGAGAAGGCGGGGCAAGCGCUUAAGAGACCCGGGGGCCGGGGGGUCGCGGUGGAUCCGGCCCUCGCCUCGCAGGAUCACAGCCCUUCCGUGGCGCCUUUGCCAGACAGGCGGAGGGCGGUACCGGCCCGCAGGGCCCGGGGAGCUCAGUCGAUAGAGCAUCAAACUUUUAAUCUGAGAGUCCAGGGUUCGAGUCCCUGUUUGGGCGAAGCCUAUUUUAAAAUCCACACUCGCUUUUCCGGAGUCCCGAGCGAGCCCCGGGUGUUGGGGGAAACCCGGCUGGGCCCAGGCUGGGAGUUCAGAGAUGGGGCGAGACGCAGCCGGCUUUGCAGAUUGCUUUGUAUCAGUUUUCCCUAUGAACUGACAUGCAGUACUUUUCUGUUCAAAAAACCAAUGCCCCGUGGCCUGUUGUCAGGAUGUGCUGCUUCGCGUCCGCAAGUAUUAAACCACGGAGCUCAGGAGAAGCCAGGGCUAAGGCCCUGGCCGCCUGUGAAUCCGGGGAAAGACCCAUGUUGGGGGCCGGCUUCGCGUCUGUCGCUGCGGGGGCACCGGCAACCUGCCGAGACCUGGGACCGAACCUAGGACCUUUUAAUCUUCAGUCUGACGCUCUCCCAACUGAGCUAUUUCGGCAGGGACGAACGCUUCCUUGCACGUGCCUAGGGGAAUUUGAAACAGAAAGAAUUCGUUUCCCUUCUCUCCAACUUUUCCUCCAAAUGUUGCCUCCCGGAGCGCCCUGCUUUGAGCUGUGAGGCUGGAGAACAGCGGGAGCAAGGAGGCCCGGCCUGGCCGCCCUUCACCGCCCCAGGCCGGCGGUGCCCAACCCCGCCCUGCUGCAGCAGCGGCCGGGCUCCGCUCCAAAGGCCGCGCAGUGCCGCCGAACGGAGAGCGCCUCUCGUCCGCGCCCGGACAGGCCGGCCGCAAGGUCGGGGCUGAGACAGAGCGACCACCACGGCUGGAGGCCUGGAGGAGGAGGAGGAGGACCGGGUAGGGGCGCUCGGGCGCACUCCGGCUCUGCCUCUCGUCCCGGAGCCCCGACUUGGCCCCGCUGUCACCCGCAGACGUGCGCGGCGCCCCCAGGCCUCGGCGCGGCCGUGCGGACAUCGGCCCCGGGGCAAGGUGGCCACCGAGGAUCCGAACACGGCUUUCUCUAAAUGCCGCCGACACAGUGCCUUAAGAGUGCUCCGCUUCUCUGCGAACCUGCAGACGCCUUCCCGGUGGAUUCUGGACCCCGCCCCGCCCGCGAUCCCCUCGGUUCCGAAGCCGCGAGCCGCGCAGAGGGACUACACGCAGCCAGCGAGGGGAGGCACCCAUCUGGGCCGGGCUGCGGAUGCAGAUCUGGACGCUGAGACCCCGCCCCGAAAGAUGAGGCUGCGCCCCGCCCGGCCGCGAGCAGGAGGAGCCAAGGGUCCCAGCCGCAGCGCACGGCCAAGGCCGGGACCCGAGGGCAGCCACGUCCCAGUCCGCAAGCCGAGAAACGGACAAGGAGUGAAGCGAUCCCGGUCACGCCCACCGAAGGGUACGCCCUCGGCCACACCCCACCCACGGCCGGCCUCUCGGCCUCCCUCGCCCCGCCCAUAGCCGGCCCCGCGCACGCGCAGCUGGGGCCUCGGUCCGCCCCAGGACGCACCCGGACACCUCCGGCUUUCGGGCCUGUGCUCUUCCCGGGCUAGCUGGAUGUCACCUCCCUUUCUGUUCCCUUGCCCUCCUUCCUCCCAGCACCUGACUCUCGUAAUAAAAGAAUAGAAAGAGAAAAACAAGUGUAUGAACGUGUGUCUCAUGUACAGAAAGGGAGAUGCCAGGAAAUGAGUCAUUCUUAAAGACGCGGAGGGCUUGGAACUCCAGUUUGUACGGCAUCGUCAGAAAACAAAAUUUGGGGCGCGAUGACGACGCCAAGGAAAACCUCGGGUUUCCAGGGACAGCCAGAUGACUCGGCCCGGGACCUGCGGCCUCCGGCAGCCCCAGCACGCCUCGCUGCGACUCCGCUCCGCGCUGAGAACGGCUAGGGCUUCGAGGGCAAAGGCCCAGGUUUCCGGGGGCGACUCCCCCCGUGAGGCCGAGGUGGACGAUCUCGAGGCUGAGGGCAGCAGUGCAGUCUCGCUCCCCCCUUCCUGGGUAAAACACGCUAUCCGGCUUCCCCAGAAACAGGACCAGUGAGGUACAGGUAGCCUAUUCGGUGGGACUCCCGGGAAACAGAAACCAUAGCCUGUAAGUACAUUUAUCCAACUAUAGAAAAGAUUUAUUUUGGCGCAUGGUUUCAGAUGUUUCAGUCCACUGAAACAUUGUGGCAGAAGGGCAUGGGAGAAAAAAAGUAGAAGCGAGAUGCAUCAUGCACAGGGCCAGAUUCCCUAGAUGGAUGUUGUCCUUAUGUAUAUCUAAAAUGCAUCAAUAAAUGUUGUGCUUUUUUAAAAGGCCAUGGGAAAGUGUUAGGAAAAAGGAAAAGAAACGGGUAUGAGCUCACAGGACGGGUUUACUGCAGAACAAACGCGAGAGGGAGGCUCUGGCCCUGGAGACCAGACCGCUGCCCUCCUCCAGGCUGUGGGCUCUUUUGUAGGAGGGUGGAGUUCACUGAAAAGGGUUGCAGCUUCCUGACAAGAGUGAGCCUGAGAGAGCGAAAGGGGUAACAGGAGCCCAGCUGCUAUCAAUAGCAGGGCUGGUGGUGUCGGUUCCAGAUUCGGUCGUGCUGAGAGUGGCGGGUUAGAGACAACUGGGAUCAGGGUGCGGCCGCUGGAUUCCUUCAGAGCGGAAAGCUGUUACCUCAGGGCAGCCGGGAAGCGGAGCACGGAAGAGCCAGGGAGGGCCUCGAGGUACGCUGCAGCCCAGCUGGAGGGUCGAGAUGUACCCUUCGAAGACAACCGCACGCAGUGCCCACCUCAUCCAACUAGGCUGCACUGCCCAGUGAGCCCACUGAGCUAUUAAUCUACCACGAAGUGACCCACGUGGUGAGGUGGAGCCUCAGAUCCAUUCAGUUACUCAGAAUUCCACUGGCCACAACAGGACCCCCUGCACUACGGGGCUUUGGGGGGACAUUUGGAUUCCAGCCGUAAGAGAUAGAGAAGAAAACAGACUUAGAGACGGAUGGAUUUUAAGAACUUGGUCUAAACAAUUGUGGAGGUGGAGAGGUUCAAAACCUGUGGAGCAGGUUUAGCAAUCUGCAAUCUAAGUGAGCUGAUGCGGCAGUCCAUUCCGCAUUCCACGGGGCAUGGAGCUGGAGACCCAGGCGCUCUUCCUGUCUGAGUUCUGAGAGAGCCUUCUUCCUCGCCAGAGCUUUGCCCUCCGGGGCUUCCAAUAACCACAUGUCCUCAAAGCCUGCUGAUGCAAAUGCUCAUCAAAUCUUUAAAAGCAGAUACCUCCCCAAGAACUUCUAGACCAAGCAACUGGUUGCUGCAGUCCGACCACGCAUGCUCAUGAAACGCCCAGGACCUCAGGCCGACCGUCGCUCAGAGCCGCACUGUCCACGUAUUUGGCCACCAUCUUGGUUUCCUUGCUUUUGUUCAUCGCUGGAUUUUCCCCAAACCCCCUAAUAAAACGCAUCUGUCCACCCAAGAACCAAAGCCUGUAGAGGAUGGAGCCCCUCCUCGGUAGGCAGCUUAGCGGAUGAACAGGAGGGGGCUGCAAAGCGUCAGUCUCCCUUUUGCCUUUGAGACCCGGAUCUCACCACUCUCCCCAAGGUUCCUCCUGCCUGGCCUGGCCAAACCCAAGGAGCUGCCGCAGCCAAGUGUGUGUCUGUCGCAUCCCCUGAGGGGGCGGCCCAGCGUCUUACAAAGUUGCUUUGCUGUCCUUUGCUAGUUUUAAAAAUUAGGCUCCAGUCCGGGGCCUCCAGACUGCCCUGUGCUCCACCUGAACCCCACAGGGGUGUGGACAGCUCCUGGUGACAGAUGAGGGCUCCUGCUGGGGGUCCCCUGGUGAUUCUGCCCUUGGGCUCAUCCUUCCCAGGCACAGACAGGUAGGUGAUGGAAGCAGAUUGCUUUGCACGCUGUGAGGCUUUGAGGAUCCGAAAUCGGAUAGGUCUGCUUGGGGAAGGAAGUGAGCAGGUUUCCUGGGCCAGGCACAGCCCCUGAGCUAUGGCCAGGGUCUGGGUCGGCCGAACCCUACAGCGCCCUGCAGAGCAGACCUCGAUCCUGGGGUCCGCAGGGAGGGGACCGUCAGACCCAAACCCAGGGAGCUUAGCUGACUUCCACUCAGGAGUUUAAAAGAAGCACCGAGUGUGGGAGAGGUAACGCCCAGAAAGUGACUGAGCAACUCGGGAUUAUUUCCAAAGUGCAGAGCAGCUGUGAGGUUUAUAAAACCACUGCCGAAACCCAGGAUUGAACCAGGGACCUUUACAUCUUCAGUCUAACACUCUCCCAACUGAGCUAUUCCAGCUGCACCCCAGUGGCCCAUUCUUCUAUGUAUUACAAUGAAGCAUUUGUUUUAUAGCACCGGAAGAGCUCAUUACGCAAGUUUAGCCGGAGGCAAACAUUUUACACCAGUUAUGGAAGAGCGAAGGCGAGGACCUGGUUUACAGAGGAAAAACUGAUAGAUAACUACUUUUCUAAGGCUUUUAAUUGCCUUGAAAUCUUUCUCAUAUAAAAAUAAUUCAUGGGGACCCCACUCCCCGCAUUUAUAUGGACCUGUUUAAUGCUUAUAACUUCACGUCAGCCCAGAAACAGCUGGACUGCCUGGACAGCGCCGUCUGUUUAGCAGACAUUCCCUCUAGGUCUCACCUUUUUCUCCUUGAUUUUAUUAUGCAGAUAUUUACAUAUAUGUGUAUAAAUGUGCUGCUCUUGUAUGAAGGCAGAUGUUACAAGGUCAAAAGUUAUGAACAUUUCAGUUAUUUUUUUUUACAUAUGUAAUCAAUUUGGAUACCAGAAAUGCUUAGAAGAGGAUUUGGCAUGUGCCAAGCCCUGGGUUUGAUCCUGAACAGUGUAAAAAGAGAAAAAAGAAAGAAGAAUACAACAAAACAGAAGCAAAAAGACACAGAAAGGCCACCUGUAAAGGUUUCACACGGAGACUUCCGGUGUUAUCACGUCUUGUGGUAUCCACGGCAUAGUAUUCAUUAAAAGCACUGAUUUGCUAAACCUCACAUUAAAAAUAUACUUUAACUUGCUGAAUCCCAUCUUGUCUUUCCUCUUCUUCUUCUUCUUCUUCUUCUUCUUUUGGUACCAGG
rnacentral:tRNA from 1 species